rnacentral:lncRNA from 1 species
CCUUCCUUCCUCAGGUUGUGGCCCAAGGAUUAAGCUUCCUGCGGGCAUUCCCUCCUGAUUGAAAGGCCUUUUUGGAUGGAAGAAAAUGGAGCUGAAGCAUCCAAUUGACACGAGGGUCAUUCAACAAAGGAAGAAACAAAAUUGGGAAGAAAAGAGGAAUUUUCUUCCUUUGCUCCUCUUCCACCACCACAGUAUGACAAACGCUGGAAGCAUCUAAUUUAAGUCAGUUGCAAUAUUGGAUUACAGCCUUAUUUUCAGGUUAAAAUUAUCUAUGUAUGUAUGCCUCUCUCCCACUUAAUAUUUACUUUUGUAAACAACAUAAGCAAUUGAUUAAGAGCUAAGAAAACAUGCACUAGACUUCUGCUGUAACCUAGCUUGUAAUUUGUACGGAUGUGGGUAAGCCACGGGUCGGAUCUUGUCCCUCCCAAACAUAGUUAUGGCCUGAUGUGAUAGUACCAUUCUCCAGUGUUGCUCCAUGGUAUGGCUUCUUACAGCUCCCAGAGUUAGAGAAAUCUUCUGUUUGUGCUUCCUUAGUUUAGGCGUUAAUAUUUUCCUCACUAGAUGAUAACAACAACUGACAAAUAAAGAUUGAAUGGAAAGGGCCCCA